UCUUCGGUUAUACACAUAUUACAUACAAAGAAGAGAAAGAGCUUCUACGUAAUGAUUUAUGAAAGAAUAAUACCUAAUGACAAUACUAGCAUCAACGUAAAAAAUAGAAAAAUUAGAAUAUCUUACCAAAUCCUUCGGAUCCUUGCGUACGUAAUUUUAGCGAUAAAUACACAUUAAGAGAAGUUAGACGAUGGUUUUAAGAAAAA